GACGAACGCUGGCGGCGUGCUUAACACAUGCAAGUGGAGCGACGAACCAGGCUUCGGCCUGGGGCAGAGCCGCGAACGGGUGAGUAACACGUGGGUAACCUGCCCUGAUGACUGGGACAACCCGGGGAAACCCGGGCUAAUACCGGAUGUGCUGCUCCCACACCAGUGGGAGUAGGAAAGGAAGCUUCGGCCUCCGCAUCAGGAUGGGCCCGCGGCCCAUUAGCUUGUUGGUGAGGUAACGGCUCACCAAGGCUUCGAUGGGUAGCUGGUCUGAGAGGACGAUCAGCCACACGUGGGACUGAGACACGGCCCAGACUCCUACGGGAGGCAGCAGGUGGGGAAUCUUGCGCAAUGCGCGAAAGCGUGACGCAGCAACGCCG
rnacentral:rRNA from 1 species